rnacentral:tRNA from 1 species
GCCCCCAUCGUCUAAUGGAUAGGUCGUGGAUUUCCUAAAUCUGAAAUGUAGGUUCGAUUCCUGCUGGGGGCA